GAUGAACGCUGACAGAAUGCUUAACACAUGCAAGUCAACUUGAAUUUGGGUUUUUACCUUAGGUUUGGGUGGCGGACGGGUGAGUAACGCGUAAAGAACUUGCCUCACAGCUAGGGACAACAUUUGGAAACGAAUGCUAAUACCUAAUAUUAUGAUAAUAGGGCAUCCUAUAAUUAUGAAAGCUAUAAGCGCUGUGAGAGAGCUUUGCGUCCCAUUAGCUAGUUGGAGAGGUAACGGCUCACCAAGGCGAUGAUGGGUAGCCGGCCUGAGAGGGUGAUCGGCCACAAGGGGACUGAGACACGGCCCUUACUCCUACGGGAGGCAGCAGUGGGGAAUAUUGGACAAUGGACCGAGAGUCUGAUCCAGCAAUUCUGUGUGCACGAUGAAGUUUUUCGGAAUGUAAAGUGCUUUCAGUUGGGAAGAAACAAAUGACGGUACCAACAGAAGAAGAGACGGCUAAAUACGUG
rnacentral:rRNA from 1 species